AAAAAGGGCUUCUGUCGUGAGUGGCACACGUAGGGCAACUCGAUUGCUCUUCGUGCGGAAUCGACAUCAAGAGAUUUCGGAAGCAUAAUUUUUUGAUAUUCGGGCAGCUGGUGAUCGUUGGUCCUGGCGCCCUU
ensembl:snRNA